UACGUAUGGAGCAAGCGUUAUCCGGAUUUACUGGGUGUAAAGGGAGCGUAGGCGGUUUUAUAAGUCUGAUGUGAAAACCCGAGGCUCAACCACGGGAUUGCAUUGGAAACUGUAAAACUAGAGUGUCGGAGAGGCAAGUGGAAUUCCUAGUGUAGCGGUGAAAUGCAUAGAUAUUAGGAGGAACACCAGUGGCGAAGGCGGCUUGCUGGACGAUUACUGACGCUGAGACUCGAAAGCGUGGGGAG
rnacentral:rRNA from 1 species